UUUCGUAGUCGCAUUUUUUGGUCGUAGUAUUUAUUGUUUACGCUAUAAAUUAGGUAGUUCUUAAAAAUUUAUGAAGGUUAGUUGAUGAAAAAUUAUUGCUAAUCAAUUAGUGGUUCUUAAGUGCCGUUAUUUUGUGUUUGAAAGGUUUUUAUAACUGAAUACGAUAGUGAAGCCAUGUGAAGCUGUGAACGGCUCUCGGACUCAGUUAUUCGGUUGCAGUUGUGCGGUGGUUCACGCCUCGUGCUUCUUGAUGAAAAUAUUUUCUUUUCGGACAUCAUGACGCACAUUUUAGUGAAAUGCUUUAACGACGAUAAGUGGGACGUUUAUCCGGUGAAGUGGUUGGCUCACCCAACAACUAGUCUUCUAUUGAUGUGCGAGCCUGACGGUUUUGAUGAGUUGCGCGGCAGAGGCCAUGAUGCCUCUUGGAGAGAAGGCACCCCGAAACAGUCGCAGCCGCACUUCUGAAGAUAGGUUACGUAUGCAGUAAAUUCCCAGAUGCUAAAGUGUUCUACGCCAAAAGCACCUUGGCGUCGUGCAAGAGACACCCGUUGAUAUGUGGCUGAUUCACUAGCAAGCUCGCAUCUGUGUUGCCACUCUCCAUCAAGUGGGAUUUUCAACUAUCUUUUGUGUUGCGCUGUGGUGUACUAGCUGCCGCAUGGACGCUGUGAAGGCUUUCGAUUUGCUCUGGCGUUUAGUAGUAAAGGAUGGGCUACCUUUUGAGGGGAGGCAUUUACUUUUGUUUGUGAGAAUGUUUACCAGCCUAACCAAGUGAUACGUGGGUACUGUAAACAGCAGCACGAACAGAGGCGGACGACGAAAUAGGUAGGAGCACACACGAGCGCAAGCUCUACUAAAAGUUUGCUUUUGAUGACAAAGGUAUUAAACACACUGGUCAACUUGGCAAAGGUAAAAAUCCGUGCAUGCGUGGCAGAAACAGCCACGUGCGACAAGAAAAAAAUAUGAAGCCAUGUCAUGUAGAAUAAACGUGCGUGAAAAACGAGAACUAUCGGUCAAAUCUAUUGAAAAAGCGAAAGAUCUGUCCGAUAAGUGAUACUACCCAACGGGAAAUACUCUUUUGAGAACAACUUUUUCCCACUAAGGGCAACAGAUAACUUGGUUAUGCAAUUGUUUCGUUUGUGAUCAAUAAAUAUUGCUUCUGGAACUCCUCUGGUGUUGCGGUAUAGAGCAGAAAGAACGAUUGUUUCAUCACAAAGACCAGAACACAAGAGGACUUAUGGAAGCAUUAUUUAUUUAUCACGAAGAAAUAUUCAUAAGCAAGAUUUCUGUGACCAUUAGUGGGAAAGAGUUGCUGCAGUACUUCUCGUUAAUAUCACUUACAGGAGAAACCUUUCAGUUUUCAUGUUUUUGUUAGUUUUUGACGCACAUGUUUAUUCUACAGGACGUAUUUAGGUCCUUUUUUGUUGUGCCGGGCUGUGUAUGCUGCGCAUCCAUGGCUUUUUCUUUGUGAAGUUGGCCAGUGUGUUUAAAAUCUUCGUCUUCACGAAUAAACUUCUACUUGAGUCAGCGUUCAUGUGUGUUCCUACCUUAAUUCAUUCUUCUCGUCUCUGUUUGGGUGGUUGUGAAAUAUAAAUGUACACCGAAUUGGCGAAGUGUCCAUAGAAUUGAUACAUGAAGUUAUUUGCGCUGUUUAUUUCAGGAAGAACGCUAUAGGGUCUUAUCUUCUCAAUGUUUUUGACACUGAGUACAUUUUUCUAGUUCAAUUUCAAGGAGUCCCCUGAGGAAGCCAAUAAGAGUGAUGGUAACUUCCUUUGUGUGUAAGAUUUAUGAAUUUCAUCCAUUCAAGGCAUGACAUGGCACAUGCCUGAUUGUAGGUUGCAAGCAUUCGUAGUAAGAUCUACUUUUCGGUUCUCAUGACGCUUCUUUGUACUGCGCUGCAUUCUCCAGGCACAUGAACCUUUUUAUGCUUAAGUGCAUGCGUUCUUUUUCUAUAUGUUGGAGCGAAAAUUGUAAACUUAAAUAUGCAUAUAUGUCACAGAGUUGCAUGCCCGCGCCCCUCUCGAGUGGGCCGACAUUGCCACCGCAGCCGCAACGCUGCUUGCACGGCGAUGAGGGAGAGCGCUCCCCAUUGUCCCUGAACCCGCCCGACGGGUUGAUCACGUGGGUCGCCUGAGCGCGACGGAGGGACGAGGCGGCUCGGCGAGCCGGCAGAGUGGCUUGGAAGACGGAGCAGGGUGGUCGUGCACCGGGAGACAGCUGAAGAUGUGGUCGGCAGGCUGAAACCUCCAGGCCGAAGUCUUCGCCGUUCGACCGACAGACGGUGCAAGUCCGUCAGGAUCUUCGGCAGCGAGGUAGCAGCAGCCCGACGCUCUUCAGAACGGGAUCUCGGCAAGCACGCCACAGUUAAGCCUCGUGUUCCAGCCCGCUCUCAGAACUUUCCGCCGGACUCUUUUUUUUUAAUCGCGUUUAAUCUUUCAUUUAUUUAUCCAUCGCGUGUUAAUUAUUGUAUGCUCUGUUAGUGUAGUGUUUGUCGCAUUUAUUUUCGCGUGUAUUUUUCAUUUUUGUCGCGUAUUUUUUGUUUAUUCGCGAGUGUUAGGAGCUCCCACGUGGUGGGCUUAGUGUCGCGCGAGUGGCGUCAGGGCGUGUGCUGUGUGACCCGCACGCCUUCCGCGAACUAGGCCCCACGGCUUGUAAUUUGUAUGUUCUUUUUCUUUUAUUAUGUUUUGCCCAUGAUUUUAUUUUAUUAAAUUGAAUGUGUGCGUACGACGUCGCCUCCCGUCUCAUGCCUCUGGUUCACGGUCGAUCAGGCGUGGACCUUAUCGCCGGUCAGCAGUCGAACCCUCAAUAAACGCACGCGGGGUGGGUUUGUUGUCGCCCCAUCCCCUCCGGUUCGGAGAGUGCGAUUACCUCACCAUCAAUCUUUGACAAUAUAUAUCAUUUUCCUUGUAAUCUUUUUCAACAUGGGUGCUGUAGCUCCCUCUGUCUUUCAGUUACUGCUUUGUCCCAAUUUUUAUGCAACCUUUGUAUUUUAUGCAGCAAAAUUCUGGUGCUAUUUUAAUAACAUUUUAUCUGCGAAAUUGAGCUAAUUGGUGUUUCUUACAUGCAUUUAUUGGCGUUUUUCACUGUCUCAGCAAUCUGGCUGUCGAGUCAUUGGAACCUUUUCUCAUACUUUAUGACUAUUUCUGGGGUGCUUGAUACUGAAAGUGCAGGUGACCAUUUAUUUGGCUGUUUGGAAUUGUGUUAGCCAUGUGUUACUACCAAUUUUCUGUGCUAAAUAAUUAUUUUUUCUCUUAUCGUUCAAGGUAUUAGCCUUUCCUUAUCUCUUUAUUGACUGAGGUAGCACUUAGUUGCUGGGUAUAGGAAAAAAGGCCCCAAAAAGUGCUUUAAUUAGCUUUGUGCAGGUCCAGAAAGAUUACCUGAAAAUGAGCUCACUAAAUUGAGGAAAUGCCACUAAGGAACUCUUCUAUACCCCACAUUAACAUAAUCAAAUGGUGUACUGUUUGUUCUUGACUUGUGCCAGGGAGAUAAGCUGCUUUCAUUACACAACAGCUUUACACGUUUAUUUCUGAAGAAAGCAAUCCUGGCUUGUCAGAAACACGAUUCAGGUGUUCAUCAUGCCCGACAACUUUCUAAAUUAUGUCUCGUCAAAUAAUAGCUAAGUUGAGUGAUGUUAUUUUAUAAAAUAAUUGGGCAACAUGAAAAUAUAUAUAUCUCGAAGACAAAGCUAAGGCAAGUCUACUUUGGUACUUCAUUAAAUUUUAAUCGUGGUGAAAGACGUGUGCUAAAGGUUGUAUAUAUUUACGUGAAGUCAUUUGUUUCAAGUUGGUUAUUUUGCCUUCUCACAGUCAGCCGUAGCUCUUCCUGUGAUGUGUUAGUGUGCGCAACAUUUCAAUGUAACAUAUUCAGAUGUCUUUUGUGUAUUCACAUGCAAGCAGCUCCAAGUGUUCAUGUGUUCAAAGUUGGUUGUUACAAGGGUAUGCUUAAGGCCUGGCUUUUGAGUCGCUUUGCCUUCUAGUCAUAAACUUAAGUCGAAAGUGAAGAGCACAGUGAUCGUUUUGAUUGGAUUCAUAUGUAUAGGUUUUUUCAGAUGUAUUUACACUGCUAGAGUGCUGUAGGUACUAGCCUAUGUCUCCAGGCUCGAUGUAGUGGUGCCUUAUGUACUGUAAUAAUGUUUCACGUGCACGCAUCUUUAGUGUAAAUAAAGGUACUUCAAGUUGAUCA